UACGUAGGUGGCAAGCGUUGUUCGGAAUUAUUGGGCGUAAAGGGCGCGUAGGCGGUUUGUUAAGUCGGUUGUGAAAGCCCGGGGCUCAACCCCGGAGAGUCGACCGAUACUGGCAGACUAGAGUACAGAAGAGGUAGCUGGAAUUCCUGGUGUAGCGGUGAAAUGCGUAGAUAUCAGGAGGAACACCGGUGGCGAAGGCGGAUCUCUGGGCCAUUACUGACGCUGAGGAGCGAAAGCGUGGGGAGCGAACAGG
rnacentral:rRNA from 1 species